rnacentral:rRNA from 1 species
UGAGGAAUAUUGGUCAAUGGACGCAAGUCUGAACCAGCCAAGUAGCGUGCAGGAUGACGGCCCUAUGGGUUGUAAACUGCUUUUAUAUGGGGAUAAAGUGGGGAACGUGUUCCCUUUUGCAGGUACCAUAUGAAUAAGGACCGGCUAAUUCCGUGCCAGCAGCCGCGGUAAUACGGAAGGUUCGGGCGUUAUCCGGAUUUAUUGGGUUUAAAGGGAGCGUAGGCCGUUUGGUAAGCGUGUUGUGAAAUGUAGGAGCUCAACUUCUAGAUUGCAGCGCGAACUGUCAGACUUGAGUGCACACAACGUAGGCGGAAUUCAUGGUGUAGCGGUGAAAUGCUUAGAUAUCAUGAAGAACUCCGAUUGCGAAGGCAGCUUACGGGAGCGCAACUGACGCUAAAGCUCGAAGGUGCGGGUAUCGAACAGG